CAGUGAAGUCAUGAUUAAUUUAUUCUGCUUUAUUAGUUAUUGAAGAAACUGUAGUAUAUCAGAAAAAUUUUCUUUUGUAGAAAAAUUGCUGAGGUAGAACGCAUCGCCCGUGAGAAAAAGGAGUUAGAAUACCUUAAAUUGCUUGAAGCACAGCGCAUUGCUGAGUUACAAGCUAAAUUGACAAGCUCAGCAGUUAAAAAGAUUGCACUAGCUGAUAACAAGGAAACUGGACUAAAUCAUACAUUCACUUUAAGUGAUAACAAGGAAAAUGGUCUUAAUACCACAUUUUCCAAAACUACUGGACCGUCUCAGUCAAGUUCUACUGGGAAAAACAAAGAUAGUUAUGACAUUACACCAAACUCCAAGAAAUAUAAGAAAAAUAUUAACAUCUAAAGAAUAGACAAGUGGAGAUCUCAGCUCACAGCUGCUAUGAUCAACCAAGUAUACUCCGGACCUGUGGUUGAGGAGAUCUUCCCUCCGACUAUUCUUCUCACCACACCUGAUCUCACCCAAAUCUUUCCUAAGCGGAAAAAAUUUAACAAAAGCACCUCUUGUGCGAUAUGGACUACACCACUUUCUAAAUAUUUUGAAUAAUGUUAGCUAUAUACAGUACUGUGUAUAUAUUUUAUUAUGCUUCAUGGUAUAAACUAAUGAUUUUCAGUUAAGUGUUAUUAAUGCAUUGGAAUUGUUUUCCAAAUUUUUAGAGUACAUAACUUAGCAUUUCUUAAUAUAUAGGUAUUUUCCAAUUUACGAUGGGGGUUGUGUUCCUGAAAACCGUAACAUAAACUAUGAGCCCUUUAA